CUCCAUGAGACCGAAAAACACAUUUACCUGUCUGACCGUCUGUUGUUCUGCCUUUGUGAAUAAGAUGACUCGAAAACGUUUUGAGGUAGACAAAUGAAAUUUGGAAAGAAAGUUUUUCGGACAGCUCUAUUGGAAGUUAAUUGGAUUCCGGAUCAAGCAACCCAGGCAUUGGCGUCAAACUUGGCGACGAAUUUGCGACAAAAUGGAUGAUACAAGAAUCUUCAAGAAUUUCGGCGAUAGGCCCAUUAGGAGUUUGUUUAGUUAUAUUAACGUUCCGCUGUAAAGCAACACUUGGGCUAUUUUGGGACGGACUUCGUAAUUUUGAACCGCGGUCAGAUGACGAGGACGGUACCUGAGCUGGCACCCCCCUCUCCACGCCUUACCACAGCAGCCGGAGGACGUUUGGCAUGACGGAUUUAACGUGCAACAGACCCCUUACACGACGGUUCUUCGGUGGAAUCUGGUCUCGAACCUGAAACCCUAUAGCUCACAAGCUGAGACCUUGCCACCAGGCCACCGCGGCCCGUACAGUAUGUCUCCGAGUAAAGAAGACAAUUUUAAAGAGAGCUCUAACGGAUGCUGAAUAGGUUUUGGAUCUGUAACUCUCGGCUUUGGCGGCCAUUUGCUGUCUUGACGCCGGAUUUGGCGACAAAAACGGAAAGAUCCCGAAUAUUCGAGAAUCUUUGCAAUAUCUUAAUUAGAAGAUUUGUUCUAGAACAUUCCAUACUCUGUCAUGAUGGCUAUAAAGGCAUAGGCGCACAGACUGAUAGGGGUAGUUUAGCGAAGUUUCUCUUUGGAAU